GGUCUCAUACUCUUGCGUUUCCCAUCUUCAUGGACGAGAGUGAAGUUCGUGUUGUUUUCCGUAUUCAAUAGUCUACACACUACUACCCACCACUAUAUUAUAAGCUUAGACACUGGAGCACAGCAGGAAAGCACUGCAUCGACACUGGAAUAUAAAAGCAUGUACAACAGUAAGGGGGACAACGUCUUCUGUUGCUUAUAUAGGCCAGGUAAGAAGAAGUAGUGAUGAGUCCUAGUUUAUGCGUGACUACUAUUAUUAUACUCUAUAAUCAAUCCUCUACUACAUACUAUUAUAAUAAAAAGGAAAAGUGCCUCACUAAGAAUGGGGAAGCGAAAGACAGUAAAUGUCCCAUACCCUUCACUUGAUUUAGGGCCUAAGGCUAACAAUCCAUUGUCCCCUCCAGUGCCUGUACGAUCUGAUCUUUCAUUUCAGGUACUGGUGGCUCCUCAUCAAGUACUUCGUCAAGUCCAAGCUUGAACCACCGGAAUAAUCGGCUUGGUCAUCAUCAUGUCAGCUGGAUUCUCUGCUGUGGCAAUCUUCUUCACUGUAAAAAGACCCUGAGAUCACAUCCCGAAU
rnacentral:lncRNA from 1 species